GCCUUUAGGGACAUACUAUCCUGAAUCCGCCUGAUUGUUUUGUCUCGGAAGCUAAGGACUUUCGGGCCUGGUUAGUACUUUGAUGGGAGACCGUCUGGGAAUACCGGGUGCUGUAGGCU
ensembl:rRNA 5S_rRNA 5S ribosomal RNA